AUGAUAUCCAAAUCAUCAUACAAAUCCUCAAUCAAAAAAACUGAUUGAUUAUGCAAUGGCUACUUUCCUUUUCCUUCAUCAUCACACCACAAACAAGAUCUUCAAAGAUUGAACUCCAUCAAUGGUGAAUCACUUAAAAAGGCACGAGUGGUGUUAGACCAGACGUCGUCUUCACAGAUCUGAGAGACGAAGCUGUCAACGAGUUCUUGCACGAAGCAACGAGACCUUUGCGAAGCUCUUUCCUCACCCACCAUCUGCAGAAAGAGAUAGAGUGAUCAAGAAAAAACAUUAUCUGCAAAAAAUGAUGCUCAAAUCAUCAUACAAAUCCCCAAUCAAACAAACUGAUUGAUUUAGGAGGAUAUUAAUUUGAUUAUGCAAUGACUACUUUCCUUUUCCUCCAUCAUCACACCACAAACAAGAUCUUCAAAGAUUGAACUCCAUCAAUGGUGAAUCACUUAAAAAGGCACGAGUGGUGUUAGACUAGACGUCGUCUUCACAGAUCUGAGAGACGAAGCUGUCAACGAGUUCUUGCACGAAGCAACGAGACCUUUGUGAAGCUCUUUCCUCACCCACCAUCUGCAGAAAGAGAUAAGAGUGA